rnacentral:lncRNA from 1 species
UUGGGCUCUUGUCUUUGUCAUCAGUAUCUACUGCUUGAGAAUGCCUGCCUCGCCCCCUACCUGGCGCGCCAAUCUGUUGCGGCCAAUCCCCUCGUCGCCUGAUCGCCGGAAACGAGCGCCUGCAAAAAAGGAAGUCCACACUGACCGGAGGCGGCUCCGGCGGGGACCCUCCGACGGUCAAGUCAGAGAGGUGAUUGUGCAACAGUGAAAUGAAGACAGAGAGCUCAAUCGAGAGAG